rnacentral:rRNA from 1 species
UACGAAGGGGGCGAGCGUUGUUCGGAUUUACUGGGCGUAAAGGGCGCGUAGGCGGCCAUCGCAGUCGCGUGUGAAAGCCCCGGGCUCAACCUGGGAAUGGCGCGCGAUACUGGGUGGCUGGAGUUCGGGAGAGGAGCGUGGAAUUCCCAGUGUAGAGGUGAAAUGCGUAGAUAUCUGGAGGAACACCGGUGGCGAAGGCGGCGUCCUGGACCAACACUGACACUGAUGAGCGAAAGCCAGGGGAGCAAACGGG